CGCUCAAGCGGUGGAGCAUGUGGUUUAAUUCGAAGCUACGCGAAGAACCUUACCAGGUCUUGACAUCUUCUGACAGUCUAAGAGAUUAGAGGUUCCCUUCGGGGACAGAAUGACAGGUGGUGCAUGGUUGUCGUCAGCUCGUGUCGUGAGAUGUUGGGUUAAGUCCCGCAACGAGCGCAACCCUUAUUACUAGUUGCCAGCAUUAAGUUGGGCACUCUAGUGAGACUGCCGGUGACAAACCGGAGGAAGGUGGGGACGACGUCAAAUCAUCAUGCCCCUUAUGACCUGGGCUACACACGUGCUACAAUGGAUGGUACAACGAGUCGCGAGACCGCGAGGUUAAGCUAAUCUCUUAAAACCAUUCUCAGUUCGGACUGUAGGCUGCAACUCGCCUACACGAAGUCGGAAUCGCUAGUAAUCGCGGAUCAGCAUGCCGCGGUGAAUACGUUCCCGGGCCUUGUACACACCGCCCGUCACACCAUGAGAGUUUGUAACACCCAAAGCCGGUGGGGUA
rnacentral:rRNA from 1 species